GCGUUUAAGGACCAAAGGAGAACUAACUGUUUAGAACUCAGAACUGUACUUGGCUCUAAUUCUAGGACCCCUUCCUGGAAGUCUCCUGAGGAAUGCCAUAGAGGCAGCUUGGGUCGGUGGGACUUGGUGCUGGAAAACCCUGUCCCUCCAGGGUGGUCACAUGGCUUACACUGCCCCUCUGCCCCUCAGCUGGCCUCUGACCCGGCCCUGCAUCGUAAGCUGGCCCGCCUGUCAGCAGGCUCUUUCGCCCGCCUUGUGGAGCUCUUCUCUAGCCGGGGAGGCAGUUCCUCCCCAAACUGCUCAAGUCCCUCGAUGCCGUGCCCAGGGCCCCCAC
rnacentral:lncRNA from 1 species